rnacentral:rRNA from 1 species
UAAGCGACUAAGCGUACACGGUGGAUGCCCUGGCAGUCAGAGGCGAUGAAGGACGUGCUAAUCUGCGAUAAGCGUCGGUAAGGUGAUAUGAACCGUUAUAACCGGCGAUUUCCGAAUGGGGAAACCCAGUGUGAUUCGUCACACUAUCAUUAACUGAAUCCAUAGGUUAAUGAGGCGAACUGGGGGAACUGAAACAUCUAAGUACCCCGAGGAAAAGAAAUCAACCGAGAUUCCCCCAGUAGCGGCGAGCGAACGGGGAGCAGCCCAGAGCCUGAAUCAGUGUGUGUGUUAGUGGAAGCGUCUGGAAAGGCGUGCGAUACAGGGUGACAGCCCCGUACACAAAAAUGCACAUACUGUGAGCUCGAUGAGUAGGGCGGGACACGUGGUAUCCUGUCUGAAUAUGGGGGGACCAUCCUCCAAGGCUAAAUACUCCUGACUGACCGAUAGUGAACCAGUACCGUGAGGGAAAGGCGAAAAGAACCCCGGCGAGGGGAGUGAAAAAGAACCUGAAACCGUGUACGUACAAGCAGUGGGAGCACGCUUAGGCGUGUGACUGCGUACCUUUUGUAUAAUGGGUCAGCGACUUAUAUUCUGUAGCAAGGUUAACCGAAUAGGGGAGCCGAAGGGAAACCGAGUCUUAACUGGGCGUUAAGUUGCAGGGUAUAGACCCGAAACCCGGUGAUCUAGCCAUGGGCAGGUUGGAGGUUGGGUAACACUAACUGGGAGGACCGAACCGACUAAUGUUGAAAAAUUAGCGGAUGACUUGUGGCUGGGGGUGAAAGGCCAAUCAAACCGGGAGAUAGCUGGUUCUCCCCGAAAGCUAUUUAGGUAGCGCCUCGUGAAUUCAUCUCCGGGGGUAGAGCACUGUUUCGGCAAGGGGGUCAUCCCGACUUACCAACCCGAUGCAAACUGCGAAUACCGGAGAAUGUUAUCACGGGAGACACACGGCGGGUGCUAACGUCCGUCGUGAAGAGGGAAACAACCCAGACCGCCAGCUAAGGUCCCAAAGUCACAGUUAAGUGGGAAACGAUGUGGGAAGGCACAGACAGCCAGGAUGUUGGCUUAGAAGCAGCCAUCAUUUAAAGAAAGCGUAAUAGCUCACUGGUCGAGUCGGCCUGCGCGGAAGAUGUAACGGGGCUAAACCAUGCACCGAAGCUGCGGCAGCGACGCUUAUGCGUUGUUGGGUAGGGGAGCGUUCUGUAAGCCUGUGAAGGUGUGCUGUGAGGUAUGCUGGAGGUAUCAGAAGUGCGAAUGCUGACAUAAGUAACGAUAAAGCGGGUGAAAAGCCCGCUCGCCGGAAGACCAAGGGUUCCUGUCCAACGUUAAUCGGGGCAGGGUGAGUCGACCCCUAAGGCGAGGCCGAAAGGCGUAGUCGAUGGGAAACAGGUUAAUAUUCCUGUACUUGGUGUUACUGCGAAGGGGGGACGGAGAAGGCUAUGUUGGCCGGGCGACGGUUGUCCCGGUUUAAGCAUGUAGGCGGAGGUUCCAGGCAAAUCCGGAAAAUCAACGCCGAGGCGUGAUGACGAGGCACUACGGUGCUGAAGCAACAAAUGCCCUGCUUCCAGGAAAAGCCUCUAAGCAUCAGGUAACAUCAAAUCGUACCCCAAACCGACACAGGUGGUCAGGUAGAGAAUACCAAGGCGCUUGAGAGAACUCGGGUGAAGGAACUAGGCAAAAUGGUGCCGUAACUUCGGGAGAAGGCACGCUGAUACGUAGGUGAAGCGACUUGCUCGUGGAGCUGAAAUCAGUCGAAGAUACCAGCUGGCUGCAACUGUUUAUUAGAAACACAGCACUGUGCAAACACGAAAGUGGACGUAUACGGUGUGACGCCUGCCCGGUGCCGGAAGGUUAAUUGAUGGGGUUAGCGCAAGCGAAGCUCUUGAUCGAAGCCCCGGUAAACGGCGGCCGUAACUAUAACGGUCCUAAGGUAGCGAAAUUCCUUGUCGGGUAAGUUCCGACCUGCACGAAUGGCGUAAUGAUGGCCAGGCUGUCUCCACCCGAGACUCAGUGAAAUUGAACUCGCUGUGAAGAUGCAGUGUACCCGCGGCAAGACGGAAAGACCCCGUGAACCUUUACUAUAGCUUGACACUGAACAUUGAGCCUUGAUGUGUAGGAUAGGUGGGAGGCUUUGAAGUGUGGACGCCAGUCUGCAUGGAGCCGACCUUGAAAUACCACCCUUUAAUGUUUGAUGUUCUAACGUGGACCCGUGAUCCGGGUUGCGGACAGUGUCUGGUGGGUAGUUUGACUUGGGCGGUCUCCGUCCUAAAGAGUAACGGAGGAGCACGAAGGUUGGCUAAUCCUGGUCGGACAUCAGGGAGGUUAGUGCAAUGGCAUAAGCCAGCUUGACUGCGAGCGUGACGGCGCGAGCAGGUGCGAAAGCAGGUCAUAGUGAUCCGGUGGUUCUGAAUGGAAGGGCAUCGCUCAACGGAUAAAAGGUACUCCGGGGAUAACAGGCUGAUACCGCCCAAGAGUUCAUAUCGACGGCUGUGUUUGGCACCUCGAUGUCGGCUCAUCACAUCCUGGGGCUGAAGUAGGUCCCAAGGGUAUGGCUGUUCGCCAUUUAAAGUGGUACGCGAGCUGGGUUUAGAACGUCGUGAGACAGUUCGGUCCCUAUCUGCCGUGGGCGCUGGAGAACUGAGGGGGGCUGCUCCUAGUACGAGAGGACCGGAGUGGACGCAUCACUGGUGUUCGGGUUGUCAUGCCAAUGGCACUGCCCGGUAGCUAAAUGCGGAAGAGAUAAGUGCUGAAAGCAUCUAAGCACGAAACUUGCCCCGAGAUGAGUUCUCCCUGACCCUUUAAGGGUCCUGAAGGAACGUUGAAGACGACGACGUUGAUAGGCCGGGUGUGUAAGCGCAGCGAUGCGUUGAGCUAACCGGUACUAAUGAACCGUGAGGCUUAACCU